rnacentral:rRNA from 1 species
UACAGAGGGUGCGAGCGUUAAUCGGAAUUACUGGGCGUAAAGCGUGCGUAGACGGUUAUUUAAGUCGGGUGUGAAAGCCCCGGGCUCAACCUGGGAAUUGCAUUCGAGACUGAAUAGCUAGGGUACGGUAGAGGGAAGCGGAAUUUCCGGUGUAGCGGUGAAACGCGUAGAUAUCGGAAGGAACAUCAGUGGCGAAAGCGGCUUCCUGGACCAGUACCGACGUUCAGGCACGAAAGCGUGGGGAGCAAACAGG